rnacentral:rRNA from 1 species
GAUGAACGCUGGCGGCGUGCCUAAUACAUGCAAGUCGAGCGAACAGACGAGGAGCUUGCUCCUCUGACGUUAGCGGCGGACGGGUGAGUAACACGUGGAUAACCUACCUAUAAGACUGGGAUAACUUCGGGAAACCGGAGCUAAUCCCGGAUAAUAUAUUGAACCGCAUGGUUCAAUAGUGAAAGACGGUUUUGCUGUCACUUAUAGAUGGAUCCGCGCCGCAUUAGCUAGUUGGUAAGGUAACGGCUUACCAAGGCAACGAUGCGUAGCCGACCUGAGAGGGUGAUCGGCCACACUGGAACUGAGACGCGGUCCAGACUCCUACGGGAGGCAGCAGUAGGGAAUCUUCCGCAAUAGGCGAAAGCUUGACGGAGCAACGCCGCGUGAGUGAUGAAGGUCUUCGGAUCGUAAAACUCUGUUAUUGGGGAAGAACAGAUGUGUAAGGAACUAUGCACGUCUUGACGGUACCUAAUCAGAAAGCCACGGCUAACUACGUG